rnacentral:rRNA from 1 species
AGCGAACGCUGGCGGCAGGCCUAACACAUGCAAGUCGAACGAAGCCUUCGGGCUUAGUGGCGGACGGGUGAGUAACACGUGGGAACGUACCUUUUGGUUCGGAAUAACGCAGAGAAAUUUGCGCUAAUACCGAAUGAGCCCUUCGGGGGAAAGAUUUAUCGCCGAAAGAUCGGCCCGCGUUGGAUUAGGUAGUUGGUGUGGUAAAGGCGCACCAAGCCUACGAUCCAUAGCUGGUCUGAGAGGAUGAUCAGCCACACUGGGACUGAGACACGGCCCAGACUCCUACGGGAGGCAGCAGUGGGGAAUCUUGCGCAAUGGGCGAAAGCCUGACGCAGCCAUGCCGCGUGAAUGAUGAAGGUCUUAGGAUUGUAAAAUUCUUUUACCAGGGACGAUAAUGACGGUACCUGGAGAAAAAGCCCCGGCUAACUUCGUGCCAGCCGCCGCAGUAAAAC